AGAAACUUGCUUGGACUCAUGUGUUUUUAAUAAAAUGUGUGAAUAAGAGAGUUAAGGGUGAUUUCAAUGGUUUUCUAACAAAUUCCCCUUAUUUUGACAGAGAUUGAAGCAAUACUGGAAGAAGAAGUGAAAAGCCAAGAAGAUAGAGCUAAAAAGGGGUCAAAAAGUCACCAAGAGGAGGGAAAACGCGAAGCCCAAGCG
rnacentral:lncRNA from 1 species